CUACGGCGAGGCAGCAGUGGGGAAUAUUGCACAAUGGGCGAAAGCCUGAUGCAGCGACGCCGCGUGAGGGAUGAAGGCCUUCGGGUUGUAAACCUCUUUCAGCAGGGAAGAAGCGAAAGUGACGGUACCUGCAGAAGAAGCGCCGGCUAACUACGUGCCAGCAGCCGCGGUAAU
rnacentral:rRNA from 1 species